UAAUCCAAUGCUAGAUCAAAGUCUGGAAGCAGAAAAGGUCCUGUGCAGGAAGUGUAUAUUGGAUGGCUCCUGAGGUCAUUCGCGGGACUCCAUAAGGGCGUUCUGCUGAUAUCUGGAGCCUCGGGUGCACUGUCCUGGAGAUGUUCGUACAAAGACCUCCUUAUCCUGACGACAAUUGGGUAUCAGCCUUCUACCAAAUUGGUCGUGGUCAGCUCCCUACGGUCCCAAGCUCAUUGCCCCUGGUGGCUCGCGAGUUCAUACACAAGUGCCUCCGGGUAAACCCUGACGACCUGCACUCUGCUGACGAACUGCUGGGGCAUCCAUUCGUGGCGCUGCCGGAUUCAGAACAGCAUGUUGCCUGAUCGACGUCGUCACGUUCAGAACGAGCAGGACAUGAAUUCGUUGCUUCAAGACUGAUCCUUGCUGGAAGUUUCAGAAUCGCCGUAGCAUUGUCAGGUGAAGGAAAAUCUAUCACGCUAGAUUCGGGCAUGGGAUUUGUAAAAUGUGAUUCGAGAUUUCAACGUCUAGUAA